CGAGCACUCUAAAUAGACUGCCUUCGUAAGGAGGAGGAAGGUGUGGACGACGUCAAGUCAUCAUGGCCCUUAUGCCCAGGGCGACACACGUGCUACAAUGGCAUAUACAAUGAGACGCAAUACCGCGAGGUGGAGCAAAUCUAUAAAAUAUGUCCCAGUUCGGAUUGUUCUCUGCAACUCGAGAGCAUGAAGCCGGAAUCGCUAGUAAUCGUAGAUCAGCCAUGCUACGGUGAAUACGUUCCCGGGUCUUGUACUCACCGCCCGUCACACCAUGGGAGUUGAUUUCACUCGAAGCCGGAAUACUAAACUAGUUACCGUCCACAGUGGAAUCAGCGACUGGGGUGAAGUCGUAACAAGGUAACCGUAGGAGAACCUGCGGUUGGAUCACCUCCUUUCUAG
rnacentral:rRNA from 1 species